AACCCUACUUUAGUCUUUAGAAUGGUCGUUACCAAGGACAACACGAAUAGCAAACUUGCUGCUGUAGUUGUUUUGGAAUCGUGAAGCGCUCUAUUUAUGUGGAAAUGGCUUCUCUCCAAAUUCCACAUUUGCAGCUUUGAGUCACUUUCGCCUCACUUUCCUGGCUUCCGUCUGCUCCAACGUCUCAAUCUUCCUUUGUGCUCGCCUCUAGAAGCAGCAGUUCAUCCUCCGUAUAUUCAGCUUCAAAAAGAUAAGGUUGUGAAUCCUCAUUUGGCCAAAUUUAGUCAUCCUUGUUGUUAGUUAUCAUGAUUAGAACACAAAUGUUUUGUAUCCGGAUGUUGGAACACAUUUGUUGCCUGAAGUCAGACGUGCAUUGCUAUGAAAAUGCAAAUCAAUGCUUGAAAGAAGUCAGUUAUGGCAAUGAUUAAAAUGAUCAGAAUAAGGUGAAUCUCCUCUCUGAGCUGCCACCUUAUCGUGGUAGAGGAGUUUGCGUGUCCCAAUGAUCCUAGGAGCUAUGUUGUCCGGGGGAUUUAUGCCCCCUGGUAGGGUCUCCCAAGGCAAACAGGUUCUAGGUGAGUGAUCAGACAAAGAGCAGCUCGAGGACCUCUAUGAAGAAGAUAAAACAUGGACCCAGAUUUCCCUCGCCCGGACGCGGGUCACCGGGGCCCCCCUCUGGAGCCAGGCCCGGAGGUGGGGCAUGAUGGCGAGCGCCUGGUGGCCGGGCCUGUUCCCAUGGGGCACGGCCGGGCACAGCCCGAAGAGGCAACGUGGGUCACCCCUCCAAUGGGCUCACCACCCUUAGCAGGGGCCAUAGAGGUCGGGUGCAAUGUGAGCUGGGCGGCAGCCGAAGGCAGGGCACUUGGCGGUCCGAUCCUCGGCUACAGAAGCUAGCUCUUGGGACGUGGAGCUUCACCUCACAGGGGGGGAAAGAGCCUGAGCUAGUGCGCGAAGUGGAGAAGUUCUGGCUGGAUAUAGUCGGACUCACUUCGACGCACAGCAAGGGCUCUGGAACCACUUCUUUCGAGAUGGGCUGGACCCUCUUCCACUCUGGCGUUGCCGACAGUGAGAGGCGACGGGCUGGGGUGACAAUUCCGGUUGCCCCCCGGCUUAAAGCCUGCACGUUGGAGUUCAACCCAGUGGACGAAAGGGUAGCCUCCCUCCGCCUUCGGGUGGGGGGACGGGUCUUGACUGUUGUUUGUGCUUACGCACCAAACAGCAGUUCAGAGUACCCACCCUUUUUGGGUACACUCGAGGGAGUAUUGGAAAGUGCUCCCCCGGGUGAUUCCCUUGUCCUACUGGGGGACUUCAACGCUCAUGUUGGCAAUGACAGUGAAACCUGGAGAGGCGUGAUUGGGAAGAAUGGCCGCCCGGAUCUGAACCCAAGUGGUGUUUUGUUAUUGGACUUUUGUGCUCGUCACAAUUUGUCCAUUACAAACACCAUGUUCAAACAUACGGGUGUCCAUAUGUGCACUUGGCAACAGGACACCCUAGGCCGCAGUUCCAUGAUCGACUUUGUAGUUGUGUCAUCUGAUUUGCGGCCUUAUGUUUUGGACACUCGGGUGAAGAGAGGGGCAGAGCUUUCUACCGAUCACCACCUGGUGGUGAGUUGGCUGCGAUGGUGGGGGAGGAUGCCGGACCGGCCUGGCAGGCCCAAACGCAUUGUGAGGGUCUGCUGGGAACGUCUGGCAGAGUCUCCUGUCAGAGAAAGUUUCAAUUCCCACCUCCGGAAGAACUUCGAACAUGUCACGAGGGAGGCGCUGGACAUUGAGUCCGAGUGGACCAUGUUCCGCACCUCUAUUGUCGAGGCGGCUGAUAGGAGCUGUGGCCGCAAGGUAGCUGGUGCCUGUCGGGGCGGCAAUCCUAAAAACCCUUGGUGGACACCAGCGGUGAGGGAUGCCGUCAAGCUGAAGAAGGAGUCUUAUCGGGUCCUUUUGGCUCAUAGGACUCCGGAGGCAGUGGACAGGUACCGACAGGCCAAGCGGUGUGCGGCUUCAGCGGUCGCUGAGGCAAAAACUCGGACAUGGGAGGAGUUCGGGGAAGCCAUGGAAAACGACUUCCGGACGGCUUCGACGCGAUUCUGGACCACCGUCCGCCACCUCAGGAAAGGGAAGCAGUGCACUAUCAACACCCUGUAUGGUGCGGAUGGUGUUCUGCUGACCUCAACUGCGGAUGUUGUGGAUAGGUGGAAGGAAUACUUCGAAGACCUCCUCAAUCCCACCAACACGUCUUCCUAUGAGGAAGCAGUGCCUGGGGAAUCUGUGGUGGACUCUCCUAUUUCUGGGGCUGAGGUCGCUGAGGUAGUUAAAAAGCUCCUCGGUGGCAAGGCCCCGGGGGUGGACGAGAUCCGCCCGGAGUUCCUUAAGGCUCUGGAUGCUGUGGGGCUGUCUUGGUUGACAAGACUCUGCAGCAUCGUGUGGACAUCGGGGGCGGUACCUCUGGAUUGGCAGACCGGGGUGGUGGUUCCUCUCUUUAAGAAGGGGGACCGGAGGGUGUGUUCCAACUAUCGUGGGAUCACACUCCUCAGCCUUCCCGGUAAGGUUUAUUCAGGUGUACUGGAGAGGAGGCUACGCUGGAUAGUCGAACCUCGGAUUGAGGAGGAACAGUGUGGUUUUCGUCCUGGUCGUGGAACUGUGGACCAGCUCUAUACUCUCGGCAGGGUUCUUGAGGGUGCAUGGGAGUUUGCCCAACCAGUCUACAUGUGCUUUGUGGACUUGGAGAAGGCAUUCGACCGUGUCCCUCGGGAAGUCCUGUGGGGAGUGCUCAGAGAGUAUGGGGUAUCGGACUGUCUUAUUGUGGCGGUCCGCUCCCUGUACGAUCAGUGCCAGAGCUUGGUCCGCAUUGCCGGCAGUAAGUCGAACACAUUUCCAGUGAGGGUUGGACUCCGCCAAGGCUGUCCUUUGUCACCGAUUCUGUUCAUAACUUUUAUGGACAGAAUUUCUAGGCGCAGUCAAGGCGUUGAGGGCUUCCGGUUUGGUGACCGCAGUAUAAGGUCGCUGCUUUUUGCAGAUGAUGUGGUACUGAUGGCUUCAUCUCACCGGGAUCUUCAGCUCUCACUGAAUCGGUUCGCAGCCGAGUGUGAAACGACCGGAAUGAGAAUCAGCACCUCCAAGUACGAGUCCAUGGUUCUCGCCCGGAAAAGGGUGGAAUGCCAUCUCCAGGUUGGGGAAGAGACCCUGCCCCAAGUGGAGGAGUUCAAGUACCUAGGAGUCUUGUUCACGAGUGGGGGAAGAGUGGAUCGUGAGAUCGACAGGCGGAUCGGUGCGGCGUCUUCAGUAAUGCGGACGUUGUACCGAUCCGUUGUGGUGAAGAAGGAGCUGAGCCGGAAGGCAAAGCUCUCAAUUUACCGGUCGAUCUACGUUCCCAUCCUCACCUAUGGUCAUGAGCUUUUGGGUCAUGACCGAAAUGAGUUUCCUCCGCCGUGUGGCGGGGCUCUCCCUUAGAGAUAGGGUGGGAAGCUCUGCCAUCCGGGAGGAACUCAAAGUAAAGCUGCUGCUCCUCCACAUCGAGAGGAGCCAGAUGAGGUGGUUCGGGCAUCUGGUCAGGAUGCCACCCGAACGCCUCCCUAGGGAGGUGUUUAGGGCACGUCCAACCGGUAGGAGGCCACGGGGAAGACCCAGGACACGUCGGGAAGAUUAUGUCUCCCGGCUGGCCUGGGAACGCCUCGGGAUCCCCCGGGAAGAGCUAGACGAAGUGGCUGGGGAGAGGGAAGUCUGGGUUUCCCUGCUUAGGUUGUUGCCCCCGCGACCCAACCUCGGAUAAGCGGAAGAAGAUGGAUGGAUGGAUGGAUGGAAAAUAAGAUUCUUCCCACCUCCCGUUCCAGUCAGAUGAUCACCUUCACCUUCUCCAACGGGGGCGUGGCCACCAUGAGGACCAGCGGCACCGAGCCCAAAAUCAAGUACUACACGGAGCUGUGUGCCGCCCCCGGUAAC